rnacentral:rRNA from 1 species
GAUGAACGCUGGCGGCGUGCCUAAUACAUGCAAGUCGAGCGAACGGACGAGAAGCUUGCUUCUCUGAUGUUAGCGGCGGACGGGUGAGUAACACGUGGAUAACCUACCUAUAAGACUGGGAUAACUUCGGGAAACCGGAGCUAAUACCGGAUGAUAUUUUGAACCGCAUGGUUCAAAAGUGAAAGACGGUCUUGCUGUCACUUAUAGAUGGAUCCGCGCUGCAUUAGCUAGUUGGUAAGGUAACGGCUUACCAAGGCAACGAUGCUGAGCCGACCUGAGAUGGUGAUCGGCCACACUGGAACUGAGACACGGUCCAUACUCCUACGGGAGGCAGCAUUAGGGAAUCUUCCGCAAUGGGCGAAAGCCUGACGGAGCAACGCCGCGUGAGUGAUGAAGGUCUUCGGAUCGUAAAACUCUGUUAUUAGGGAAGAACAAAUGUGUAAGUAACUAUGCACAUCUUGACGGUACCUAAUCAGAAAGCCACGGCUAACUACGUG